GCCUUGUACAUGUUGUAUCCUGUAUGAUGUGGCAGUUGUCAAAAUUUUAAAAUUAAUUGUAUGUGCAUUUAAAAUGAUUUCUGCAAAUACACAAGUUGGUGUAUCCCACGAUUUUUGCUGAUACAUUGAAUAUAAGGCUGUUUUCGAAAAAGAUUUAAUUCACAAGAAGCCGUGAAAAAAGUUCGUUUUUCACUGUGUGUCGUGAAAUCGGUAAAAAGAUCAACGUGCAAUAAAUUUUUAAUUGUUCGUUCAUCGUGAAAUGGCAAUUUUAUUUCGCGUUAUUCCGUGAGAUCCGCCCCCCUUUUUAACGCCCCCGAUAUAGAACUGGCAUAUUUUAACUGGCAAACAUCUUUAUAAUAGAGAUAUAUUGUAUGAAAAUUAACAAUGCCCUGCCUCUUACUGUAUCAAACUGACCUUCACAUUCAUCAUAGUGUACAAAUGUACAUGUAACAUUUCACGUCAUUUGUCAAUUUUUCUUACUUAAAACUUUAUAGUAAAGAUUACGUUUGUAAAAAUAAAACAAAAUAUUUAACGAAUUAAAAUCGGAUUUCGCUUAAUCAUAAAUCUUCCUAAAAUUUCCUAAAUCU
rnacentral:lncRNA from 1 species